GUGCAACUGUGUGUGACCUGAAAUCACUGUGAAGAGUGAAAUCGAGCUUUUUAACCCUGAGUCACA